GACACCAUGGUGCAGUGGAUGGCACUUUCGGCUCUCCACACGCGGGGCAUGGGUUCGAGUCCCGGUAGGGGCG
rnacentral:tRNA from 1 species